UACGAAGGGGGCUAGCGUUGCUCGGAAUCACUGGGCGUAAAGCGCACGUAGGCGGCUUUCUAAGUCAGGGGUGAAAUCCUGGAGCUCAACUCCAGAACUGCCUUUGAUACUGGAGAGCUUGAGUCCGGAAGAGGUGAGUGGAACUCCGAGUGUAGAGGUGAAAUUCGUAGAUAUUCGGAAGAACACCAGUGGCGAAGGCGGCUCACUGGUCCGGUACUGACCCUGAUGUGCGAAGGCGUGGGGAGCGAACGGG
rnacentral:rRNA from 1 species